rnacentral:tRNA from 1 species
GCCUGGGUGGCUCAGUUUGUUGAGUGUCCGACUUCGGCUCAGGUCACGAUCUCACGGUUCGUGGGUUCGAGCCCCACAUCGGGCU